rnacentral:rRNA from 1 species
AGAGUUUGAUCAUGGCUCAGGACGAACGCUGGCGGCGUGCCUAAUACAUGCAAGUCGAGCGAGCUUGCCUAGAUGAUUUUAGUGCUUGCACUAAAUGAAACUAGAUACAAGCGAGCGGCGGACGGGUGAGUAACACGUGGGUAACCUGCCCAAGAGACUGGGAUAACACCUGGAAACAGAUGCUAAUACCGGAUAACAACACUAGACGCAUGUCUAGAGUUUGAAAGGUGGUUCUGCUAUCACUCUUGGAUGGACCUGCGGUGCAUUAGCUAGUUGGUAAGGUAACGGCUUACCAAGGCAAUGAUGCAUAGCCGAGUUGAGAGACUGAUCGGCCACAUUGGGACUGAGACACGGCCCAAACUCCUACGGGAGGCAGCAGUAGGGAAUCUUCCACAAUGGACGAAAGUCUGAUGGAGCAACGCCGCGUGAGUGAAGAAGGGUUUCGGCUCGUAAAGCUCUGUUGGUAGUGAAGAAAGAUAGAGGUAGUAACUGGCCUUUAUUUGACGGUAAUUACUUAGAAAGUCACGGCUAACUACGUGCCAGCAGCCGCGGUAAUACGUAGGUGGCAAGCGUUGUCCGGAUUUAUUGGGUGUAAAGCGAGUGCAGGCGGUUCAAUAAGUCUGAUGUGAAAGCCUUCGGCUCAACCGGAGAAUUGCAUCAGAAACUGUUGAACUUGAGUGCAGAAGAGGAGAGUGGAACUCCAUGUGUAGCGGUGGAAUGCGUAGAUAUAUGGAAGAACACCAGUGGCGAAGGCGGCUCUCUGGUCUGCAACUGACGCUGAGGCUCGAAAGCAUGGGUAGCGAACAGGAUUAGAUACCCUGGUAGUCCAUGCCGUAAACGAUGAGUGCUAAGUGUUGGGAGGUUUCCGCCUCUCAGUGCUGCAGCU